UCGCCACCCACCGUCCUCACCCUAGUCUUAUCCCCAUCGUACAUGUCCUUGAUAACUCUGAUGGAGGUGGAUUACUUUGAAUACAAGAUUUGUUAUUAUCAGAAUCCUUUGGAUCAUUUGUAUUUGAUGAAUCAACUGAAUUCUCUUUGCUUUUUCCCCUUCAUUUGGGAGUGGUAAAUUUUCUGACUGAUUAGGUUUCCACACGGCUGCAGUAACAGAUUGUAAGAACCCAAUUUGUUAGCCAAUUUGGGUCCUACACAAUUAUUCCCCAUCCAAAAUAAAAAAUAUCAAAACAAAUCCUACUAGCUAGAAUCAAAAUCUCAACUUUUCCCAAAUUCCAAUACCAUCUAAACAUGCCAUUGCUGAUUCAUCAACAUUCAUGAUUCAACAGAACCCUUAAUGAAGCCCUAAUUUUUUUAAUCCCAAAAAUUAAAUACUCCACUAAAAUCAAAAUCAACCCAACUACUCAUAUAUUAAAUCACUAUGCACAAAAGGCGUACCAAAAAUCUGAAUUUACUGUUGAAAUUCAAGAAUUAAAUAACAUAUGAUGUCUCAAAUAUCGAAGCGGGCAAAAGAAAACGAAAAUCUUAGGGAUUUGGAAGAAAUUGAGGAGAAAUUAAAUGAGGGGAAAUUGUUGGAAACGGUGAGGAAAUAGAAAGAUGAAGUGGAUCGGUUGGGUAGUUUUGGCGAUUGGAA
rnacentral:lncRNA from 1 species